UCGGGAAUUUUGGGCAGUGGGCGAAAGCCUGACCCAGCAACGCCGCGUGAGGGAUGAAGUAUUUCGGUAUGUAAACCUCGAAAGAAUGGGAAGAAUAAAUGACGGUACCAUUUAUAAGCUCCGGCUAACUACGUGCCAGCAGCCGCGGUAAUACGUAGGGAGCAAGCGUUGUUCGGAUUUACUAGGCGUAAAGGGAGCGAAGGCGGCGCGGUAAGUCACUUGUGAAAUCUCUGAGCUUAACUCAGAACGGCCAAGUGAUACUGCUGUGCUAGAGUGCGGAAGAGGCAACCGGAAUUCUUGGUGUAGCGGUGAAAUGCGUAGAUAUCAAGAGGAACACCUGAGGCGAAGGCGGGUUGCUGGGCCGACACUGACGCUGAUGCGCGAAAGCCAGGGGAGCAAACG
rnacentral:rRNA from 1 species